UACCUUUGUGGCGCUUUUGGUUCCGGAUGUUGUUCAUCCGGAUUAAAAGGGAAUACGGUGUAAUUCCGUAACUGUCCCGCAGCUGUAAACUCUGUAACGGUAUCCAAUGAACGCCACUGAUCUGAUCUGUAGAUUUUUACAGAUGAUGGUUGGGAAGGCAGGAUGUCCGGGAGUAAGUCAGAAGACCUGCCUGAAGUGGUAAUAAUUC
rnacentral:ncRNA from 2 species